AGUAGUGGCCUGGGCAACACCAAUCCAGCGAUGCCCAGCAGAGACGUGAUAGCGGCCGCCGCAUGUGCAGCUACCCGCCGUGUGCCCGUGCAGGAUUUGACCAUGGGCAACACACCGCCAUGUCCAUCCAUAGCCAUCGAUCGGAGCUCCUGUGGCAGACAUGACAGACAUUGACCGGGAUUUCUCCUUGCCCGACCGCCCGACAUGGCCGGGCAACAGCUUGGGGGAGAAUCUUGCCGACGGCAGGUGCGUCCGUACAGAAGCUCCAACCGGGAUAUCUCGAUCGCCAGGGAAGAGACUCGAUCGGGGGAUUGGAAGAUCUGGGACGCAACGCGGCUACACAGGCAGGUACACUCACGAGAAGGCCCGGAUGAACUGGCCGGGAACCGGCUCGCUUCUUGCUUCCCGCCGAUCUUGUUCGCCACCCAGCUGAAAAUCUGCAAGAAAAACAGAGGUUCCAUCCCAUAAGGUACGGCACCACGCAAGCGCAAACAGAGGUUCCAUAGAUGAUCAUCAAUCUCGCCAUCGAUCCAACGCCUUAAUUCAAGGCCAACAUAAAGAUCAUAAUACUGUUGGGCAUGAGAUUACCUUCAUAUUCCCGUUCUGAAUUCUCUGGGGGUUUGGAGUAGUGAGCGGGGUGAGCCUGCUGCAGGCACCAAGACUGAGAGAGAUACUAAAGAAAGAUGGCAAGAGGUAUGAGCGGGUGACUGAGAGAGAUGCAGCGAGGCGAGCGAGAGACUUUGUAGAAGCGUGGUGUUGGUGGUGGCUGCUACUGUCGAUGGAAGAACUGCUGGCGCAUAGUGAGUGGCAGUGAGGCACUACUAGUAGCAGCUAGUUGCUCAUUGGACUGAUUUGAAGGGGGCGGCUCAAGUUCCAAUGCUCUGGAGCGUGGCUGAGAUGAGGUGCUGCUACCUAUACAUACUUCAUCUGGCAUGUCACUUCCAAAUCCUUUUUUUCUUGAGAUGGCGACAUUCCCCUUUAGGAGGAGCAUUAUGAGAUGGCGCCAGCCAAGCCUGACUUGGGUUUACCAACUCAAAGAAUCUCCCCUGUUUGCAAUAUGAUUUAGUAUGAGAUAGUGUUUCUCGAGAGAAAUCUACAGUCUACAUCCGGGGCAAUUGAAAUGAUCUGUCCAAUCUGCCGGGCGGCAAGUGUAAAGUCACUUGUACUCGCGUGAAGAAAGUGCAAGUAACUCAAGUGUCUGCAGUUAAAAUCCUAAAACUGUCACCGAACCAGCGUAAAUGCGUAAUUGCAGAGCGACCCCGCUGGAAUUGAAGGUAAUCAAGGUCAUGUGUUUUGUCAAAUCUGGUGUUUUCCUGAGCGUCUCGUGAGCAUUCCAAGUUUUUCAACCUCAGCAUAUAUACAGUCGAGUUUGCCGUAGAUAGUAACCUCUGUGAUGAACUAAAAUAGCAAAUAUUUUGCUUGAUCCCACCGUGUAGACUUUUCAACGACUGCAAUUUGCAAGUA